GUUACUCUUUUGUACUUUGUCUUUUUCUUUUAUUUUCUUUUGAGCGAUUGUGCGAACAUAGCAUAGCACGCACUAUGCCUUCUGUGUUGUAGCUGCCUGGCCAGGGCGACUGGCGGAUAAGGUCUUGUGCGUGGCCUCGAGGCUUAAAAGUAGCAGUGGGGCUUUGUGAAGGACAAAAUGGCGAUGGCGGGCCGUGUAGGUCCCCCUUCCUAUGAUGAGGACCUUUUCACAGACCUGUACUGAGCUCCGUGAGGAUAAAUAACUCUGAGGAGAUGGGCCCUGCAAGCCUCUUGCUUAGCCGUCUGUUCAGAAAAUAGCGUUUUCGAAAUGCCCUGAGUUGACCUAAUGUCUUAUUGGGCUCCUGUCUGCAGGAUUUACGCGCACGUUGGAACCGAAGAGAGCUCUGUUGUUGCAGUAAGUUCUUACGGCCAUUUCUUAAUCUCUGCUCUUUCGUUGAGUGUGUGGAAGUUGCUACGGGGAUGAUUUUACGAACUGAACUCUCUCUUUCUGAUGGAUUAGUGGAGAAAACAGAAAAUUCUGAGUAGCACUGUACUGUACGCAACAAAUGUCAGGGCCCUAUUGAUUUGUCUGAGGUGUUAGUGAAGGGUGUUAUUUUUUCAGAUGUUCAGCCCACAAGAGCUUACUGGUGAAGGAAUGGGACAAGACCCAUCUUUAUGCAAAGCCAGCGUUACAGUAAUGUUCCAGGUAGGUGUACAUGGUUUAUGCUCUUACAGAGGAGACCUUGUAGAUAACCACUCCAUGAUGAACACAAAAUGACAAGCAUAUGGCUGAACUUUCAAGUGAUGUCAUCUUACUACUGAGAAGUGAGAGAGAGGUCUUAAGGGGUCUUUGAAUGACUAUUUUUAGGUACAUAAAAUGCUUUCCUCUGUUGUCUACAGCAUCUCAUAAUCUAUCCUGGGGAAUUCAGCUGCCUCCCAGGGUGAAUACAGGUAAUUAUCCAAAUUGGUGUAUGUCAUCUUUGUAAAUGUUCAAGAAAACAAGUGGCCGGCGGAACAAUGUUUUUUGGCGCCUUCCAUCUUGUUCCUCUUGAAAUGAUUUUCUGGGGAGGGAGAUCGCAACCCGGUACUACAGUUCUUGUAAGGGUGUGCUGUUACCCUCAUCCAUAUAUCGAUCACGUUACUGUCAGAUGAUUUGAAUUGAUAAGCUGAUGUUCUGUGAGGUACAAAAGUUAAUAGCAUGUUAGAGUUCUGAUGGCAGUUGUUGUUUAUGAAUAAGCUUCAUUCCAUCCUAAUACCUUAAAAUAACUAAUUUGCUUUCCUUUCCAGGUAUUCCUGAUGACAGUCUGCCUCUAUCUUACAGUAAGUUGUUUUUCGAAUUCUAUGGGCCUAUUAUCUAAUAGAUAACUUAGCCAUUUUGAUAUUUGUUACCAAAGCCUGCUUAACCCAUAAAGUUUUCUGGUUCCUCUUGUUCUCUGUAGUGAUGUUUCUAGAUAGAUGCCCACUGAUAUAUGCCCCUUUUUUCUCAGAUAGAUGCCCACUGAUCUGCCCAGGGUCAGACGAAUGCUUGUCAGUUGUAGCUUUCCAGGAUUCUGCUCCAAUGAGGAGGAAACAUCCUGCCUUACCCCUGUUUUAGCCUGGGAACCAGUAAUUGUGAACUCACCAGGGUUAACAUGAAGAGGGCAUGAGAGCUUAUUCCAUAAGGAAUUGUCUGAGACAUUUGGUUACCUUUUCUUAGUUUGUCCAUUAGCAACCGUAACUAAAAUAGUUUUGGCUGUUUGGGAUAAUUAGCUAAUUGAAUGAUUUUUUGAUUCAGGAGCAGCUUGUUGCUAUAUACCAUUGAAAAGCCUUCAGAGCUGAGAGGUUAGUUGAUAUUUUUUGUUCCUUACAGCUUAUGCCACCAAGUAGGCAGUUUCUAUGAUGAAUCAAACUAGCUCACUAUGACCGACAGUGAAAAUACAUGAACACCUGAGAAACUGGAGAACGCAGGGAGUGGGGGGUAACCAUGUCUGAGGAAUCUUUCACCCACAGCUUUGUUUUUCUCUAGGUACUACUAACCAAUAACCUGCUUGGCUCAAAGGGCCAGCACCUUCUCUCUAAAGCCCAAGAGGAGUUUGAGGUAAAUGGCUUUGCAAUAGUUACCAUCAAUGGCUGCUAUAUAAAAUUUUCUGUGAUUUUUGUGUGUGAUAGCACUGUGGUCUGGGUGAAUGUACACAGACAUAACUGGCUUAACCCAAAGUCUUUGAUCUCCUGAACCACCAGUGAUGAAUUGCUGCUCACCAGUGAUGAGUUGAAUACCGCCCCAGUCUGAUCAAUGUGUGACUGAAAGGUAUUUUCUGAGCUGUGAGCCUGCCUUCCAGUGACAUGUUCUAAAAAUUGCAAGUUAUUUGAGGAGGCUUUACAGCCAAUAGGAAGUUCUUGGGCUAAGUAGUGUUUCCUAUAAAAUGUGCCCUGAAACUUCUUUCUGCCAAGCAAUAGAUACAAUUGAGAGAUUGUAAAAUGUGACAUAGAAUGAAAGUCUCUCAAGACUACAUUUUUCUUUCUUGAUUUUGCAGGAAAACUAGGUGUCUGUGUUCACUCCAGGCUGAAGUUACAGGUGAGUAAACCUAAAUGUAAGGUGGACUAUGCUAAAAAUUCCCAAUGAAGAAACUUUCACAUGUCUUACUCUCUGUCCUAGUCCCAGAGCCUGUAAAGGUGAACCCACUGGGACUGGCUGGGGGAGAAGAGGAAGAUUUGUUCCAGAAGGAACUGUCUGAGGGAUGAUAAAGAUUUCUAUACAGAGAAAGGGAGUAAUCAUCACUUGUUGAAAACAUUGGUUUUAUUUUUUCCAGGUCUGAGCAAAUAAGGUGUAUAAAAAAUGGAAUCUGUCUUGGAGGACAUCAGAAGGUGAAUUUUCCAAGUUCUUGGACAACCUAGCUGUUGAAAAGCUUUCUGGGUUUGGGGGGUAUUUCAGAUGUACCUUAAAGUGUUAGCAGACACAGAUUAAGACACUGGGAGCCAAUGAAACAGCAGUUGAGGGUUUGCUGUGUAUCACAUUUCUGUAUUUUAUCACCCCCUUCCUGCAACAUUAUUUAUCUGGAAUCUACCUGCCCUUUUGUUUUUUAGAUACAAGGGCUUGGUUUUGUUACCCAGGCUGGUUUCAAGGCCAUAGCUUUAAGAGAUCCUCUCACCACAGAUUUCCAAAGUGCUGGGAUUGCAGGUGUGAUUCAUGGCACCCAGACUUUGCUGCCUUUCUUACAUGAUCCAGGCCCAGAACCCAAACUCAGGCACUGUAUAGAUGACCACUUUCGUAAACUACUGACCUAGCUUGUUGCCAAUUGUUGAUUGAACUUCCCAUAACUCCACUUCGUGUCUGUUCCUCUGUAUACAGCCACCUUCUGUUCCCGUCAUGAGCCUUUAGGUCUCCAUUUGCAUAUUGCAAAUACUAUGUUCCAUGUAGGUAGCUCAUUCAGGGCCUUGCUCUUCACUUCAAAAAAGGUUCCCUUGAGGACUGGCUGUCAAUUUGUGUUGCUGUGUUGGUUGUUGAUGAAAAUAAUAAAAUGA
rnacentral:lncRNA from 1 species